rnacentral:snRNA from 1 species
UCUCCGAGAAUGGUCCCAAG